AUCACCACUUACCAGUUCUUUUAGUAUCAUCUUCCAUAUGCCUCUAUCAUAAGUUAAUUCUGCAUUUUGUGUGAAGCAUAUAUAUACAUUUGCAGUAAGUUGUUUACGUUACUGUUUUCAAAAAGCCAUGAUAGGUUUUAUGUUUAAUCUAGUGAGAGUAGAUAAUAUCUGGAUUUGCCUUGCUUCACUUGACUUUCACAACUCUUGGAAAGUGCAUGUGUGCAUGUACACUUCUCUCUUUCUCUGUACAAGAAGUUUGAAUUGGUCAUGAGGUAGAUUGCUGAGGAGCAAUGCAACUUUAAUGCAGGUUGGAUGAUGCUAUUGAGA
rnacentral:misc_RNA from 1 species